AUGGAAGGGAAACAACGUGUUUUGCUGAACCUGCCUCCGGGCUACCACUUCGCCCCGUCGGAAGACGAGCUCAUCGUCCACUACCUUCGCCCGAAGCUGGACGGCCCCGCCGCACCUGCCCAUCUUCAACGACGUGACGCCCAUCACCGACUACCGCCCGGAAAAGAUCACAGGGACUUCGGGGAGGGGGGCCGGUGGUACUUCUUCACCAAGCGGACCCGCAAGUACGCGACGGGCAGCCGGCCGGACCGGACCACGCCGGGCAAGGGCUUCUGGAAGGCCACGGGCCCCGUGAGGGAAAUCCCCAUCCGCCCCGGCGGCAAGCUGGUCGGGCGCGCGAGGACGCUGGUGUUCUACACCGGGCCGGACGAGCCGACCCACUGGACCAUGUACGAGUACGAGAACGAGAACCGCACGUCCGAGGCAGAGGCAGAGGCCAAUGACAAGAACAUCGACAAGCUUGGUGAGUGGGUGCUGUGCACGAUACAGAAGAGUCAGCGUUGCGACGUGAAGAAAAAGGCAGGCGGCAAGGCUAAGGGCAAGGCAGGCGGCAGGAAAAGGAAGGGCAAGGCGCAGAGCGGCGCCGAUCUAGUCCAGAUUCAGAGCGCCGAGGUGCCGGAGACGGCGUGGCCAGAGAAAGGAGAUGAGACGUACGUGUUCGACGAUCUAGAGCAAACCGGUCGCUCCAGGAAGAGACCACAGAUGCAGCAGCAUGAACCGCCGCGCUCAGAGACAAUGAUGGUAGACGACUAUGACUACAAUGGCAUCCAAUACAUCUGGGAUGAUGAGUACAUGCCGAUGCCGCCGCCGCUGGAGUAUGAGGUGGCGCCUCCUGUUGCAGGAGUAGGAUACAGCUACAACAGCAUGAUGUACCAGCCGGCCACCAGCUACCUACAUGCUGCGCAUUACGCGGUGGAGCAGGAUGGGUACGCCGGCGGACAUCUCGGCGGCCUCUUGGGCACGGGCAACAUUCCAUGUACCUACCGGCCGCAGCAUUCCUGCGCCGCCGCCGGAACCACUAACUUGCCAUGGAGCACGGGGGCGACGACGAGCGGGCAGGUAGAGCCGUGA
rnacentral:rRNA from 1 species